rnacentral:rRNA from 1 species
ACUCCUACGGGAGGCAGCAGUGGGAAUAUUGCACAAUGGGCGCAAGCCUGAUGCAGCAAUGCCGCGUGUGUGAAGAAGGCCUGCGGGUUGUAAAGCACUUUUUAUCGGGAAAGAAAAACCAGGGCUAAUACCCUUGGUCUUGACGGUACCCGUUGAAUAAGCACCGGCUAACUCCGUGCCAGCAGCCGCGGUAAUACGGAGGGUGCAAGCGUUAAUCGGAAUUACUGGGCGUAAAGCGAGUGUAGGCGGCGACGUAAGUCGGAUGUGAAAGCCCCGGGCUCAACCUGGGAAUGGCAUUCGAUACUGCGUGGCUCGAGUCUGAUAGAGGGAUGUGGAAUUCCGGGUGUAGCGGUGAAAUGCGUAGAUAUCCGGAGGAACACCAGUGGCGAAGGCGGCAUCCUGGAUCAAGACUGACGCUGAGGCUCGAAAGCGUGGGGAGCAAACAGGAUUAGAUAACCUGGUAGGCUCUGCU